GAGAAGUGUCGUCAGUUACUAUCAGUUGUAAGGACGAAGAAGAUGGUAGAAGAAAGUAGAAAUAAUUUCAUGAUGUAACCUUGAACAAAGAGCAGGUGUUUUAUUUUUUGUUUCUCUUCAUAUAUAGCAAAAAUAGAUAGGUCUUCGUCAUUCUUGUUGCCGGCAUCGCUGAGACUAGUUGGAAUCCGUAUGUGAUGACGAAGUUUUAUCAUCUCGUAAUUACAGAUACGCACAUGUACGUAUGUAGAAUUCUCAAAAUUAAGACAUUUCUUUGUCAUAUCAGCGAACGAGUGACCUGUUUCGUUCGGAAUUGUUAUUGUCAAGCGCAUGAUAUAAUACAUAAGACAGCGAAUGCUAUCUUAUUUAUAAUAUAAAUUAAGGAUAAAUAUAUGUAAAUAGGUCGGAAGAAAAUGGUAGGAUUUGAAAGACAAGAAAGGACAUUUUGUAAGAGCUUAUGUUGUUGUCAAAAGAAUAGCAUAUUACCGUUUAUAAGUUAUAAUACAUACUACGUAUAUUGGGUACUAUAUGUUAUAUGUAACAUACAUACAUAUUUUGUAUAUGUACAAUAAUACAUAAAAUUCUAUGAAUCUACGAAGUUGGAAACCCAGUGAAGGUCGUGUAUUAUAUUUUGCUGUUUUUCUUAUGUAGCCGAGGAAAUGAUAUCAGUAAUCGUUCUCGGAAAUUUGUUUUCGUGUACGAACUUAUGAGAGAUUUAUAGCAGGGAUGGGUAUAGAUGAUCUCUCUUUCUCAGAAUGAUACGAUACCUACUCGUAAUAACAUUCUCGGCUAUUCUUCUGUUGGAUUAUGAUUGCAGUUGUUCCAGCCAUAGAUGAAUCGAUCUUUGUUUCGAUAAAGUAAAAAAGUAAUUGUGAAGUAAAUUUGUUGUUAAUGUUUUUUAUUUAAUUUAAAUUUGUUUGCGUUUUAUGAUGUUAAAAAACUUAGAAAUAUGUGUGUAUAAAUAAUUUGGGUCCAAAGCAGUCAUAGAGUCAAUAUUUGUUCGUAUAAAAUUUUCUUUUUUUUUUUCUCUGCAAUCAGAUAUACUGUAGAUACUUAUAUAUAAAACAAGUAAUAGAUAUUCACGAAUUAAACUCAUUGUUUGCCUCUUAAUUAUUAAAUAAUUAUUGCGCAUUUGAGUCAGUGCAUCAUGGAAGAUGGUCAAGGACCUAUUACACUUCUGUAGAAGAAUAUUGAUUUGCAUUGUCAUUAAGUCAAUGUAUUACAAAUUCAAUCUAAUUCAUUUUCCAUCUACGUCGAUUUAUUUCAUUUUGGACCUAUUAUGGAACAGCUUACAUAAAUUUCGAGCUACAACUGGGCGAGUGUUUUGAAGGUAUCGUGGAUCUUCUUAAGCAGUGAGUGAACAAAUUUAAGUCCCUCCUCUAUAUAUUAUGUCGAGUAUGAAAGAUUUGACUUGACAUGAGUUACUGGUUGUAAUUUUUUGUAUUAAUUGUUGACGAAUAGCCAUUAAUAAUUAACUUUUUGCAUUUACCCUUGAAUGGUAUAGUUUUAGUUGUUUUUUUAUUGAGCAUAGUCUAGUUUCAUUAGCUUAGGAUAGUAUUUUCUUGUUUUAUUAAUGAGUCAUUUAAUUAAUACGAGUCAUGCAACAACUCUUUGCAGUGUGAUUUAAAUGCGAUUGGUUGUCAUAAUUGGUGACGAAGGCACUCACACGUUGGCUUCUGCAGCAUUUUGACUAUGCAUGUUUGAACGUGUGCCAAUUAUGUGGAUGUUAACGAAAUUAAUUAUUAUAAAAACCAUAAAAUCUGAUUAAUUUGAAUAAAUAUGUUUUUGCACAUGCAUUUAAACGUUAUAAUAUAAUCAAACAUAUCAUAAUCUCUUCUUUAGAUGCAAUAAUCGAGAACAAUUCAUCCAGUAAAAUGAAAUAAUUUUUAGCCCAGAAAUACUAGUAACAUUUUAUUUCAAUUUGUGAAGAAACGCUUAUUUUUAAUUUCUAUCAUUUAAAAAAAAUUAAUAAUCGUAUGAUAUCUUUGCAGCAUGGUACAUCUAACACAAUUUGGCAUCUUUUGUAUUUCCAUGUUGUUUCAAUGCAUUUGUUAUAUUUUUCACUAAUUUU